GACUAAAAUGGUUCCUUAUUCUGCCCAAUACGUUUUAGUUUUGGUCGUCCCACCUCCCCUCCCUUCGUCGCCCACUCGCCUGGCCAGGCAUCUUUCGUCGUCGUGGUCGUACUUCCGUUCCAUGUCGUGGACAGAUCCGUUUUGCCCGUCCCUAAAUCACGCGCCCACCUCGCUCUAAUCCCGCCCCAUCCCAAACCUCUCUCGCCCCUCCCCUUCCAUGCCUACAGAUCCACAGGCGACGGAAUCGCCGGCGCGGAGGAGGCCCGAGGUCGGCGAGGAGGCGCCGACCGUCCCUACAUGCCCAUCUCUCUGCCCUAAUUUUCCUGUCCUCAAUCCCUUGCAACGGCGCGUGUCGGAGGGUUCUGCGGUGUUUAUCAUCUAUGUUUCUCCUCCAAAGCCCUAGCCGCUCUCUGAUCUUGGCAUCUUGCCACUCCAGGCAGUCCGACAACACACAUGCAGUCACGCCAACGAUCGGCGGGUGUGAUUUCCCCCACGCAGCUGCAGCUCCUUCCACCAAACCUGCCCGUCCGGCCGUCCCUGUCGGUUGUCCCACGGCCGCUGCAGAACAGAGCAGGACAGUCCAAUCUUUGAUAGUCCCUGCCUCCUUGGUAAUUUCCUCAAACAAAUUUUCCCGUAUGUAUUUUGUAGGAUCUGGUAGCCUAAUUGCGUAUGGUUUUAAGGAGUGCUAAAUUUGGUCAUUUGUACUUCUAUAAAAUAUUCUAUCAAGUCAUGAUUUUCAUAGAUACUUCAAAGAGAUCAACACCAAUAUUUAACUGAAUUUGUUUAAUCAACAUGCCCUCCUAUUUGUGUGUGCUUCAGACUUUUUUUAAAUAAUUAUUUUGGCCGUGCAACACUGUGUUUUAUCUUUUGCGAGCCCCAGAUGUGCUACAAAAAUCUGAGCAAGCAAGCAUAUAUUCACCCAAUGUUGCGAUGCCACCAUGGAGCAGAUGCUGGUGAUAUAUGUUGCUGCACCAGCCGAGCUGAGGUAAAAGAAGUGAGGAAUGGAUAUUUGACCCAGGAUUUGGUCAACUCAUGUGAAUAUUUUGUUCCUCGCUUCAAGGGUAACCUUCUACUUAGUUCUGAGAUUCACUAUUGUCGAAUGGGUUGGAUUUUUCUCUUAAUAUUAUAUCUGUUCUACUCCCUAGGGCCGCAUAUAAGUUCUGUUUAAGUAUUGUCUUUAGUUUUCUGAACACCUGUUUGUCUUGCAUGAGGUACAAUCAAGAAGUUAUUGAGACCUUUGUGAGAACGAUCUUUUUUUUUGUUUUUUUUCACAUUCAGUUUUAUUAGCGCUAAGCAGUGGCCGUGAAGCGAUUGAGUAAAGGAGAGGAGUGGAGAGGAUGGCGGAAAAAGGUGCCACCAGUGUUGAUUCUCUCCGGGGCGACGAGGAGCACGGUCAUGCUCCAAUCCACUUUUUUGUUUCAAAUUAAGUUCUAUUCACAUUUUUAUAUGUGAUAUGCCGGAUCUUCAAAUUUGCAAUUGGGCUUAUUGAGAUUGUAGAUUAAUGCUCAAUCAUGAUAGAUUACAUGCAUGGAAGGUCAAAGUCAUGAUAAUUUCAUUUUCAAAGUUAUCUAAUAUUUAAUGUUCUGAAUUUGUAUGCUCUCUGAUUUGUCUUUACAGCUACAUGAUUCGGCUUUAUUUUUGAAUGCUCGCAUUGGACAGCUGAUUAUUAACAAGCUUCGUUCAGCAUUAAGGUCAUAUCUGAAGAGAUUGGGAUGAACCUUGAGAACUUUGGUUCUCAGAUGUAAGGUACAUGUAAAAAGGUAUGACUACUAGAAGCCUGAGCAUUUUUUUAUGUCUUUGCAGUAUGCUAAUUGUAAGCAUAAUAUUCUGAUGUUGAAAAAUCUCUUAACAUCUUGCAGUAUAGUUAUCAUCCCAAGGUUUUAGUCUGUGGAUAUUAAGCUUAUUAUAUUUUUACCAAAUUGUUUUAUCAAUAAAAUGCUCAAUUCAGCUGAUUGUUUCUGAAGAUGACAUUGUUUUCUUGAUGGAGAUGGGGACAAGAACAUUGAAGUAAGAGCAGAACAGGUUCAUGCAGUGUGGAUUUAAAGUAUUGGGACAUGUGUAUUCCUUUUCAUCUUAUUUGAAUUAUGUUGACUCACAUGAAUAUUGUGUUACACUGUAAUUGAGCAAAGCUUUCUGAUUAUGGAAAGGAAAAGCUGCUGGAGCUGUCAGCUAGAGGUGUUUCCGUUUUAAAGGUGAGAUAACUUGAAUGUGGUACAUGCAAAUUUGAGAGAGAACCAGAACUCCUUGUUUUAUUUGCUAUUUUACAGUUAUCAAUUUUGAUAAAUGUACUAAAAGAUAAAUGCUAUCUCGACUAGCAUUUCAUCGGGAUUUGAAGUGCAGUGAUGGAUCCAAUGUAUCAUCAGUAUUUUUUAGUCAUGGCUAAAUAGAAUUGCAGUGAUGAUGUAUUAGUUUCACCAGUAGUUAAAUGAUAUCAGAAUCAGACUAACAGGUGAGGAAGCGGCUGAAGGGGUCAGUACAUGGUAUUUACAAAGUUCAUGUCUUCUUAACAGUGAAUGCUAAAUUUAAUGACUCACUCUUACAAUUGAUGUCCAGAGAACAUCAAGCAUGCAAAUUUUGUAAAUGUUUGUUUCAUACAUGGCAGGGUGUAAAUGAUGAGAUCUUCUCGCCCUACACUUUUCUUCUUUUUGUUGCAUAUGCUGAUAUAGAAGAAGGAAGUGUAUCUCCACAAAAGGAUUUCUCAGAAUUUAAAGAAUCAACUGGUAUACUAGAUUGACUCGCCGGGGACACACCGAGGGGAAGGAGAUAACCACCGCUCUGGGCAUUCAGCAUCAGGUGUCAAUUCUUUUGGCUGGUAGGACAAGGGCGACAAGGCAGAGCCUACGGGGAAACUAGACGGACAAGGGGAAGUCUACAGUGAUGAGGAAGUUUUGUAAAGCUACUAAUAUCUGCCCGCUUGUACUAUAAUUUCUCUAAAUAUAAUGUUUUUUCAUGCA